UCCUAGAGAAACAAUUUUGCCACAAAAGAAAGAAGCUGUAAAGACUAUUGUCGUACGCACUGGUUGAUUUAACGCACAUAAAUCAAGUUUACUUUUGUACACCAUACUUACGCCAUAUGUAAUAUGAUUGGCGGAUGUUGACUGAAAGCCUACCUAAUUUUUCAUAGCAAGUAUAUUUUGAACCAUGCGCGAAGGAAAUUUUAUAGCGACGAAAAUAGUAGGGAGAUGGUAAUGUGAAUUGUAUAAUUUCAGAAAUAUAAAUGAACGUCACUGUUGCCGCUUGUGAAAUGUAAGAACGUUUUCUCGGAUCUGCAAUAACGUGGAUUGCUGUUAAACGGGACCAACGGAAAGUAAUAAAAGAAAUAUGUAUGUAGCAACUCGUUGUAAUAAACAUAUACAUGAGUGUUUAUUAUGCUAUACAUAAACGUUGAAAGCCUCUGUUGUUACGUCGUCGUUAUAACAAUUUCGGUGGAAUAAACGAUAUAUUGAAUGUAACGUAAUUAAAGUUUUGAGAUUGCUUUGUAUGUACAGUUACUCGCGUCAACAUUCGGACACUAAAUGCUUCAGCUGUCGUAUUUUUUAUGAAAUGAAAUCGUAGGAUAAUAAACUUGAGCUCAUCUCUUGUACUCUCGAGAUA